UAAGUUUCUGUGAUGACAUAGCUAUUUUACCUUGGGACACCUAUGAAAUGCCAUGAUUCGUGUAAACCUAUAAACUGAAUGUAUUU